UCAGGAUGACGCUGGCGGCGUGCCUAACACAUGCAAGUCGAACGGAAACUAGGCGCUUCGGAGACUUCGGUCAAUGUUUGCUUAGUUUAGUGGCGGACGGGUGAGUAACGCGUGGAUAACCUGCCAUAUACAGGGGGAUAACAGUUAGAAAUGACUGCUAAUACCGCAUAAGCGCACAGUCUCGCAUGGGACAGUGUGAAAAACUCCGGUGGUAUAUGAUGGAUCCGCGUCUGAUUAGCCAGUUGGCGGGGUAACGGCCCACCAAAGCGACGAUCAGUAGCCGGCCUGAGAGGGUGAACGGCCACAUUGGGACUGAGACACGGCCCAAACUCCUACGGGAGGCAGCAGUGGGGGAUAUUGCACAAUGGGGGAAACCCUGAUGCAGCCGACGCCGCGUGAGUGAAGAAGUAUUUCGGUAUGUAAAGCUCUAUCAGCAGGGAAGAUAAUGACGGUACCUGACUAAGAAGCACCGGCUAAAUACGUGCCAGCCGCUGC
rnacentral:rRNA from 1 species